UAUGGGGGACAGAGAGAUGGAUCAAUAGUAAAGAAUACUUGCUUCUCCUGCCUGCGACAUGAUAGCUCACAACACUCGAUUAACCCAGUUUCAGGGAACCUAAUGUCUUCUUCUGGCCUAGCAAGCACGAGAAAAAAAGAGAAAUCUAACAAGAAUGAAAGAAAGAAAGAAAGAAAGAAAGAAAGAAAGAAAGAAACAAAGAAACAAAGAAACAAAGAAAAAAGAAACAAAGAAAGAGAAAGGAAGGAAGAAAGAAAGAAAGAAAGAAGAAAGAAAGAAAGAAAGAAAGAAAGAAAGAAAGAAAGAAAGAAAAUGGAAUAAGAUAAAUCUAACACACACAAAUUGGAUAAAACAAUUAAACAAAAAAAAUGGGGAAGCCAAAGAACAAGCAAAAGAAACAUAUUUAAAUACAAAUACACACAUGUUAUACAGAUUUCAAAUUAAAAACAAUGACGCAAAAAGUAGAAACUAUAAUAUAUAGACAUAAGGCCUAUAAUGUGAAAUUAAGUAAUUAUCAAUUAAUAGUAAUUAACAAUUAUUUUAAUUGCCCAAGGCAUAUGAGACAAAUAAGUAAAUAAAAAUAAUCUUCUGAAGCUACCAUUGCCUUCAUUUGGUAUUGGCCCUCUACUGCUGGCUAUGGGGCCUGCACCUAAGUGUUGAUUGGAUACCCAAUGAGACUCUGUCAGAUAAAAGAUAUGUGAACAGUUACCAAGUACAGAUACAUUAUUUGUUUAAAAAUCCAUUUUGCUUGCUCUAAAUAAAUCUAUGUCCUGCCUUAAGUGAUUCUUUUUCAUUGCAUUCUCCAACUAACAAUGUGGUUACAUCCCUCACUUUUUGUCUGAUUUUAUUUGUUGUUGGUAGGUUUCCCUAUGUAACUAGUUAGCCCUAAAUUGACAUUCUCUAUGCUGGGAUUAUGGACACCUGUUACCAAAACCCAGUUUACUUUCUGACAUUAUUUUCAUUUGGACGGUCUACUGUACACCUAUAACUUUUAAGACACUUCUUUCUAAGCAGCCAGAUGUCCCAAGCAAAAGAAAUCUGCCAAUGGUUCUCUGAAGAUAUUCUCUAUCUCCAACUCCAGAGGGAACGGGGGAGGCAAAGAGUUAAGAAGCCAUUUUUCUGUGUAUUUAUGAUGCCUACUUAUGAUCCUAUCCAUCGCCUGGCUUCUGUAAUACUUUUUUUUAUGUAGUUUAGGUGGAAACUCCCACCAUCUCAACACUAUGAGAGCAAACUUUAUAUUUUACUUUAACCUAUCCAUUAAUAAAAUUCCUUGCUAUCUUUAAA